AUUGAACGCUGGCGGUAUGCCUUACACAUGCAAGUCGAACGGUAGAGGGGCAACCCUUGAGAGUGGCGAACGGGUGAGUAAUACAUCGGAACGUGCCCAGUCGUGGGGGAUAACGUAGCGAAAGCUACGCUAAUACCGCAUACGACCUGAGGGUGAAAGCGGGGGAUCGCAAGACCUCGCGCGAUUGGAGCGGCCGAUGGCAGAUUAGGUAGUUGGUGGGGUAAAGGCCUACCAAGCCUGCGAUCUGUAGCUGGUCUGAGAGGACGACCAGCCACACUGGGACUGAGACACGGCCCAGACUCCUACGGGAGGCAGCAGUGGGGAAUAUUGGACAAUGGGCGCAAGCCUGAUCCAGCCAUGCCGCGUGUGUGAAGAAGGCCUUCGGGUUGUAAAGCACUUUCAGUAGGGAGGAAGCGUUGUGUGUUAAUAGUACACAGCGUUGACGUUACCUACAGAAGAAGCACCGGCUAACUACGUGCCAGCCGCCGCGGUAACAC
rnacentral:rRNA from 1 species